AGUGAACGCUGGCGGUAGGCCUAACACAUGCAAGUCGAACGGCAGCACAGUAAGAGCUUGCUCUUACGGGUGGCGAGUGGCGGACGGGUGAGGAAUGCAUCGGAAUCUACUUUUUCGUGGGGGAUAACGUAGGGAAACUUACGCUAAUACCGCAUACGACCUACGGGUGAAAGCAGGGGAUCUUCGGACCUUGCGCGAUUGAAUGAGCCGAUGUCGGAUUAGCUAGUUGGCGGGGUAAAGGCCCACCAAGGCGACGAUCCGUAGCUGGUCUGAGAGGAUGAUCAGCCACACUGGAACUGAGACACGGUCCAGACUCCUACGGGAGGCAGCAGUGGGGAAUAUUGGACAAUGGGCGCAAGCCUGAUCCAGCCAUACCGCGUGGGUGAAGAAGGCCUUCGGGUUGUAAAGCCCUUUUGUUGGGAAAGAAAAGCAGCAGGUUAAUACCCCGCUGUUCUGACGGUACCCAAAGAAUAAGCACCGGCUAACUUCG
rnacentral:rRNA from 1 species